rnacentral:rRNA from 1 species
UGGCGGACGGGUGAGUAAUGUCUGGGAAACUGCCUGAUGGAGGGGGAUAACUACUGGAAACGGUAGCUAAUACCGCAUAACGUCGCAAGACCAAAGAGGGGGACCUUCGGGCCUCUUGCCAUCGGAUGUGCCCAGAUGGGAUUAGCUUGUUGGUGGGGUAACGGCUCACCAAGGCGACGAUCCCUAGCUGGUCUGAGAGGAUGACCAGCCACACUGGAACUGAGACACGGUCCAGACUCCUACGGGAGGCAGCAUG